AGCCCUACCUACAGAAGGGCUGCGCUUUUUAGAAAAGCGCAACCCUUCUGUGGGUGAAGGGCUGCGCCUUCUAAAAAGCGCAGCCCUUCACAGAAGGGCUGCGCUUUUUUUAAAGCGCAGCCCUUCAUCAAUAGGGCUGCGCUUUUU